rnacentral:misc_RNA from 1 species
AGUUGAGAGACUGUAAUAUUACAAUCUCUUAAAUUCAAGGACAGUUAUUGAAAUUUAUCUAUUUUUUAGCACAAAAGGUGAGAGAGACUUGAAAGGUAUGAGGCCUUUGUGUUUUCAAACCAUAUUUAUUUUCUCAACCUUAAUAGAAGAAAAAAGAGAUGGCAAAGCAGGGACUAAGACCCUAGUCUCUAAUGAAGGAGAAGAAGAGAGUAAAGGCUUCAACCUAUGACUCUCAAAUCAUGAAGAAGGAGGAGAAGGAGAGUAAUAUGAAUAGUUUUGUUAAGUUUUUAGAAAGAAA